AUUGAACGCUGGCGGCAUGCCUUACACAUGCAAGUCGAACGGUAACGCGGGGCAACCUGGCGACGAGUGGCGAACGGGUGAGUAAUGCAUCGGAACGUGCCCAGUAGUGGGGGAUAGCCCGGCGAAAGCCGGAUUAAUACCGCAUACGACCUACGGGUGAAAGGGGGGGAGUCGCAAGACCUCUCGCUAUUGGAGCGGCCGAUGUCAGAUUAGGUAGUUGGUGGGGUAAAAGCCUACCAAGCCUGUGAUCUGUAGCUGGUCUGAGAGGACGACCAGCCACACUGGGACUGAGACACGGCCCAGACUCCUACGGGAGGCAGCAGUGGGGAAUUUUGGACAAUGGGCGCAAGCCUGAUCCAGCAAUGCCGCGUGCGGGAAGAAGGCCUCGGUGUAACG
rnacentral:rRNA from 1 species